rnacentral:rRNA from 1 species
UGCGUAGGCGGCCGGGUAAGUCACGUGUGAAAGGCCGGGGCUCAACCCCGGAUCGGCAUGUGGGACUGCCUGGCUCGAGCACGGUAGAGGCGAGUGGAAUUCCUGGUGUAGCGGUGGAAUGCGUAGAGAUCAGGAAGAACACCGGUGGCGAAGGCGGCUCGCUGGGCCGUUGCUGACGCUGAGGCACGAAAGCGUGGGGAGCAAACAGGAUUAGAUACCCUGGUAGUCCACGCUGUAAACGAUGGACACUAGGCGUCGGGGGGAGCGACCCUCCCGGUGCCGUCGCUAACGCAAUAAGUGUCCCGCCUGGGGAGUACGGCCGCAAGGCUGAA